rnacentral:rRNA from 1 species
UCCUACGGGGCGCAGCAGUAGGGAAUCUUCCACAAUGGGCGAAAGCCUGAUGGAGCAACGCCGCGUGGGUGAAGAAGGUCUUCGGAUCGUAAAACCCUGUUGUUAGAGAAGAAAGUGCGUGAGAGUAACUGUUCACAUUUCGACGGUAUCUAACCAGAAAGCCACGGCUAACUACGUGCCAGCAGCCGCGGUAAUACGUAGGUGGCAAGCGUUAUCCGGAUUUAUUGGGUUUAAAGGGAGCGUAGGCCGGCUUUUAAGUCAGCUGUGAAAGUCCGCGGCUCAACCGUGGAAUUGCAGUUGAAACU